UGGUCAUAUCGGGAUUGGACUCAUUCUGCCUCGUCUAACUUUAGCUCUGAUAAAACUCGAAGAGAGGGGAUUUCAACCUCAAUUGGUAGCACCGCCUCCAUUCCAUAAACCAAAGAGAAUGGUGUUGCCCCAGUGGAAGUCCUGACCGACGUUCAAUAAGCAUAGAGGGCGAAUAUUAACUUAUCGUGCCAAUCUUUAUAGGUCUCAGUCAUUUUCCCCACAAUCUUCUUGAUAUUUUUAUUGGCCGCCUC
rnacentral:lncRNA from 1 species